rnacentral:tRNA from 2 species
GCCGCCGUGGUGGAAUUGGUAGACGCGCUGGACUCAAAAUCCAGUGGUAGCAAUACCGUGUCGGUUCGAGUCCGACCGGCGGCA